GGCUGUGUGGUAUAAUGGUUAGGGAAAUGGGCUUGUAACUCAAAGGUUGCAGGUUCAAUUCCCUGCCAUUGUAC
rnacentral:tRNA from 1 species